rnacentral:rRNA from 1 species
CCUACGGGUGGCUGCAGUGGGGAAUUUUGGACAAUGGGCGCAAGCCUGAUCCAGCCAUGCCGCGUGAGUGAAGAAGGCCUUCGGGUUGUAAAGCUCUUUCGGCCGGAACGAAAUCGACCGGGCUAACACCCCGGUUGGAUGACGGUACCGGAAGAAGAAGCACCGGCUAACUACGUGCCAGCAGCCGCGGUAAUACGUAGGGUGCAGGCGUUAAGCGGAAUUACUGGGGGUAGAUUCCGAGCAGGCAUGUGAAAUCCCCGGGCUUAACCUGGGAACUGCGUUUGAAACUGGGAGGCUAGAGUGCGGCAGAGGGAGGUGGAAUUCCACGUGUAGCAGUGAAAUGCGUAGAUAUGUGGAGGAACACCGAUGGCGAAGGCAGCCUCCUGGGCCAGCACUGACGCUCAUGCACGAAAGCGUGGGGAGCAAACAGGAUUAGAUACCCCUGUAGUC